rnacentral:misc_RNA from 1 species
AAGUCGUAACAAGGUUUCCGUAGGUGAACCUGCGGAAGGAUCAUUACCGGGUCACGGGGCGCCUCGGCGCCCCUCACCAGCCCUUUGCCUCCAGCCUUCUCCUCGAUUGGCGCGAAAAGGGGCCCCUGAUCGGGGCCCUUGCCGAGCACAACUCUGAACAACGAUGCAGUCUGAAGUAAAAAGCAAACAAUUAAAA